UGGCUGUCGUCAGCUCGUGUCGAGAGAUGUUGGUUAAAGUCCCGCAACGAGCGCAACCUUCGACUUUAUUUCCCAGCAUUAAGUUGGGCACUCUAAGGUGACUGCCGGUGAAAACUCGGAGGAAGGUGGGGAUGACGUCAAAUCAUCAUGCCCCUUAUGACCUGGGCUACACACGUGCUACAAUGGGCGGUACAAAGGGUUGCGAACCCGCGAGGGGGAGCCAAUCCCAAAAAGCCGCUCUCAGUUCGGAUUGCAGGCUGCAACUCGCCUCCAUGAAGCCGGAAUCGCUAGUAAUCCGGA
rnacentral:rRNA from 1 species